UGAAACCGUGUGCCUACAACAAGUUCGAGCCCGUUAAUGGGUGAGAGCGUGCCUUUUGUAGAAUGAACCGGCGAGUUACGAUAUGAUGCGAGGUUAAGUUGAAGAGACGGAGCCGUAGGGAAACCGAGUCUUAAUAGGGCGCAUUAGUAUCAUGUCGUAGACCCGAAACCAUGUGACCUACCCAUGAGCAGGUUGAAGGUGAGGUAAAACUCACUGGAGGACCGAACCAGGGCACGUUGAAAAGUGCUUGGAUGACUUGUGGGUAGCGGAGAAAUUCCAAACGAACUUGGAGAUAGCUGGUUCUCUCCGAAAUAGCUUUAGGGCUAGCGUCGAUGUUAAGUCUCUUGGAGGUAGAGCACUGUUUGGGUGAGGGGUCCAUCCCGGAUUACCAAUCUCAGAUAAACUCCGAAUGCCAAUGAGAUAUAAUCGGCAGUCAGACUGCGAGUGCUAAGAUCCGUAGUCGAAAGGGAAACAGCCCAGACCACCAGCUAAGGUCCCAAAAUAUAUGUUAAGUGGAAAAGGAUGUGGGGUUGCACAGACAACUAGGAUGUUAGCUUAGAAGCAGCUAUUCAUUCAAAGAGUGCGUAAUAGCUCACUAGUCGAGUGACCCUGCGCCGAAAAUGUACCGGGGCUAAAACAUAUUACCGAAGCUGUGGAUACCUUUAUAGGUAUGGUAGGAGAGCGUUCUAUGUGCGAAGAAGGUGUACCGUGAGGAGUGCUGGAGCGCAUAGAAGUGAGAAUGCCGGUAUGAGUAGCGAAAGACAGGUGAGAAUCCUGUCCACCGUAAGACUAAGGUUUCCAGGGGAAGGCUCGUCCGCCCUGGGUUAGUCGGGACCUAAGGAGAGACCGAAAGGUGUAUCCGAUGGACAACAGGUUGAUAUUCCUGUACUAGAGUAUAUAGUGAUGGAGGGACGCAGUAGGCUAACUAAACCAGACGAUUGGAAGUGUCUGGCCAAGCAGUGAGGUGUGAUAUGAGUCAAAUGCUUAUAUCUUUAACAUUGAGCUGUGAUGGGGAGCGAAGUUUAGUAGCGAAGUUAGUGAUGUCACACUGCCGAGAAAAGCUUCUAGCGUUAAUUAUACUCUACCCGUACCGCAAACCGACACAGGUAGUCGAGGCGAGUAGCCUCAGGUGAGCGAGAGAACUCUCGUUAAGGAACUCGGCAAAAUGGCCCCGUAACUUCGGGAGAAGGGGCGCUGACUGAUGGUCAGCCGCAGUGAAUAGGCCCAAGCAACUGUUUAUCAAAAACACAGCUCUCUGCUAAAUCGUAAGAUGAUGUAUAGGGGGUGACGCCUGCCCGGUGCUGGAAGGUUAAGAGGAGUGCUUAGCGUAAGCGAAGGCAUGAAUUGAAGCCCCAGUAAACGGCGGCCGUAACUAUAACGGUCCUAAGGUAGCGAAAUUCCUUGUCGGGUAAGUUCCGACCCGCACGAAAGGCGUAAUGAUUUGGGCACUGUCUCAACGAGAGACUCGGUGAAAUUUUAGUACCUGUGAAGAUGCAGGUUACCCGCGACAGGACGGAAAGACCCCAUGGAGCUUUACUGCAGUUUGAUAUUGAGUAUCUGUACCACAUGUACAGGAUAGGUAGGAGCCUAUGACCUCGGGACGCCAGUUUCGAGUGAGGCGUUGUUGGGAUACUACCCUUGUGUUAUGGCUACUCUAACCCAGAUAGGUUAUCCCUAUCGGAGACAGUGUCUGACGGGCAGUUUGACUGGGGCGGUCGCCUCCUAAAAGGUAACGGAGGCGCCCAAAGGUUCCCUCAGAAUGGUUGGAAAUCAUUCGCAGAGUGUAAAGGUAUAAGGGAGCUUGACUGCGAGAGCUACAACUCGAGCAGGGACGAAAGUCGGGCUUAGUGAUCCGGUGGUUCCGUAUGGAAGGGCCAUCGCUCAACGGAUAAAAGCUACCCUGGGGAUAACAGGCUUAUCUCCCCCAAGAGUUCACAUCGACGGGGAGGUUUGGCACCUCGAUGUCGGCUCGUCGCAUCCUGGGGCUGUAGUCGGUCCCAAGGGUUGGGCUGUUCGCCCAUUAAAGCGGCACGCGAGCUGGGUUCAGAACGUCGUGAGACAGUUCGGUCCCUAUCCGUCGCGGGCGUAGGAAAUUUGAGAGGAUCUGCUCCUAGUACGAGAGGACCAGAGUGGACUUACCGCUGGUGUACCAGUUGUUCUGCCAAGAGCAUCGCUGGGUAGCUAUGUAGGGAAGGGAUAAACGCUGAAAGCAUCUAAGUGUGAAGCCCACCUCAAGAUGAGAUUUCCCAUGAUUUUAUAUCAGUAAGAGCCCUGAGAGAUGAUCAGGUUGAUAGGUUAGAAGUGGAAGUGUGGUGACACAUGUAGCGGACUAAUACUAAUAGCUCGAGGACUUAUCCAA
rnacentral:rRNA from 1 species